rnacentral:misc_RNA from 1 species
UUAUCUUCAAACGAUAGAAAUCACUAUCACAGGUCACCAUCUUGAUUUUAUAGUUCCAAAAUUCAAAAAGUUGUCUGACACGGUCAUGCUCGUUGAAUUUUAGUGACAAAACAUUUCUACAAACGCAAUGAUGUGUAUUUCAUGAUAAUAACAAGGUUCUACAUAACAGCAAAUUUCACGUGAUGGACCCAGACCCUCUUGAAUUUGAGGACUCGACCACAUCGACAUCAUCGGACGAAGACGUCGACACUCGCGUUUACGAGUCAAACGACCACUUUAUCCUGGAACUUCACAAUCUGAAGCGAGACUCGUCUAAUACUAACGCAAAUCCGAAUCAGGAGCAAAGACCUAAGAAGCUUCGGAAGAAGAAGAAGAACAAGGAGCCAAGUAAAGCCAAGACUUCCUCCAGUAGCCUUUCAGCGGAGUCCUUAAGGGCUCCUCACAGCGACCCCAAUAAAGAAGAGUUCUAUGAUGCCCAUGAAAGUUAUCAUGGAUUACAACCUCAACCACAAUCGAUAACAACUCAACAAGUGACAGCUCAGCCGGUGCCAAAUCAGAAUGCUGAUCCAAAAGCGAUGAUUCCGGCGGUUUUGACUGCUGCACAAGCUGAUGUAGAGCCUCGCACCGCUAUCUCGAAACCAGUCAACCUUCCACCGUAGCAACAUUGACCAAAGAACUAGAAACCUAAAGUUUUAUCAUCAUCAGAACAUUGGCAGCAUUUUUAUACCAGUCUCACAAGUCAAUACACAUCGUUGCUGCAAACAUAAUACCAAGAAAUAUCUAAAAGAAAU